UACGGGGGGAGCAAGCGUUGUUCGGAUUUACUGGGCGUAAAGGGCGCGUAGGCGGUCAGCACAAGUCAGUUGUGAAAUCUCCGGGCUUAACUCGGAAAGGUCAACUGAUACUGUGCGACUAGAGUGCAGAAGGGGCAACUGGAAUCUCGGUGUAGCGGUGAAAUGCGUAGGAUAUCGAGAGGAACACCUGCGGCGAAGGCGG
rnacentral:rRNA from 1 species